rnacentral:rRNA from 1 species
AUUGAACGCUGGCGGCAUGCCUUACACAUGCAAGUCGAGCGGAGAUGAGGUGCUUGCACCUUAUCUUAGCGGCGGACGGGUGAGUAAUGCUUAGGAAUCUGCCUAUUAGUGGGGGACAACAUUCCGAAAGGAAUGCUAAUACCGCAUACGUCCUACGGGAGAAAGCAGGGGAUCUUCGGACCUUGCGCUAAUAGAUGAGCCUAAGUCGGAUUAGCUAGUUGGUGGGGUAAAGGCCUACCAAGGCGACGAUCUGUAGCGGGUCUGAGAGGAUGAUCCGCCACACUGGGACUGAGACACGGCCCAGACUCCUACGGGAGGCAGCAGUGGGGAAUAUUGGACAAUGGGGGGAACCCUGAUCCAGCCAUGCCGCGUGUGUGAAGAAGGCCUUAUGGUUGUAAAGCACUUUAAGCGAGGAGGAGGCUACUGAGACUAAUACUCUUGGAUAGUGGACGUUACUCGCAGAAUAAGCACCGGCUAACUCUGUGCCAGCCGCCGCCGUAAAAC